CGGAGUCUCCUCGGCGCUGGCGUGAUGGUCCUGCAGCUGAUGGUGAUCUGGCCCUCACACUCGCCCUGCUCGAACAACGACAUCUCGAUACUCUAGCCCAGAUGGCGGUGAGAGCAACAACUACAACGCGCUGGAAAUCUCCCUCAAGGCGUGUAGACAUGUCUGGCAUGGGCGGGAAUGGCGGAAGCGCUGCCUCUGGCUGCUCUUGCUGAGGUCCUCCAGCUUGCUGCACAGUGUAGCGUAGCGGCAUGGUCGAUGGAGUACAGAGGAGGAGCGGGUUGGGGUGAAACUAGAUGCUGGCGAGGCCUCCUGAGAAGUCCGUGAGUGCA
rnacentral:lncRNA from 1 species